GGAGACGUGGCUGAGUGGUCGAAAGCGCUCCCCUGCUAAGGGAGUAGUUGCAUAAAAGCGGCUCGAGGGUUCAAAUCCCUCCGUCUCCG
rnacentral:tRNA from 1 species